CCAAAGCCUGCAGCUUUUCCUGGAUUCCCCUCUCAAUGACAAGCUGCUCAGAGAGCACCUAUCCAAACGAGAUGAGCAUCUGCUCCUUCCUGCUUUCCUUGCAGGGCACACUGUGUCCAUCAGGAGAAGUAAUUAAUGGGUUUAUUAUGUAGGAAAGCGUCAUCCCAUCAGUUUGCUGUCUGGUUUGAAUAGCUCCUAUCAGCUCUUCAUUCAUGCCAAGUAUGCUCACUGUCCGGAGAUAUGAUAAAGCCGUACCUCCUCUUGGAUUUUUCCCUCACUAUUCACAAAACAGUGCACAAGAACUAUGUGUUACAGAAGCCCAAGGAGGACGGAAGAAGAAAUUCUUUCAUCUUCUCUGCAGAAAGGAAACUAAUAGACUGAAAAGUUGAUAAAGAGAAAAGCAAAUAAGGAAUGCAAGAGCGUGCAAGAGAACACCCAUGCUCCCAGCGCAGGUAAUUGUUCUAAAGCAACUCGAUUUGGGAUUGUGUGUGAUUCUGAAAUAUGGACAAGCACAACUUUUCCAGAGGGCAGACCGUUUGCAGAAACAACCUGGAUUUCUCAUUGAUGAAACAUUCAAUGAAUUUUUAAUAAGUUCUGAACAUUCAAAUUGUCUGUGGUCAGAUCAACUGCUGUUAUCAGGCAAAGGCAAAAUUCACUCUCCUUUGUCUAUCAUCCUAUUCAAAUGGAGUCUUCAUCAAUCGCAUGCUGUCCUAACUAAUGCAACAGGAUUAUCAAGAAUACAGACAGAGACACUGCAAGAAUAAAACACGCUAGUCAGAGAACACACGAAAGCAGAGAAGGCUUUACAGGUAUCGAAGCUUACUAUUUCCAGCCAGAGUUCAAAUCACUGAGCUUCAAACAGACCACUGCCAGAUGCUGACCAAAAAGUAGGAGAACUUUCUAGAACCUAGAACUCAACCCUAUUGUAAAUUCUUGCAGCAGGAUGGAAGGGGAAUCUUAUCACAAUGCAACCACCGUCAACGGCACCCCAGUAAAUCACCAGCCUUUGGAACGUCACAGACUGUGGGAAGUCAUCACCAUCACAGCUGUGACAGCUGUGGUGAGCCUGGUCACCAUUGUGGGCAACGUCUUGGUCAUGAUCUCCUUCAAAGUCAACAGUCAGCUCAAGACGGUCAACAACUACUACCUGCUCAGCUUAGCCUGUGCAGAUCUCAUCAUCGGGGUCUUCUCCAUGAACCUCUACACUACCUACAUCCUCAUGGGGCGCUGGGCACUGGGGAGUCUGGCCUGCGACCUGUGGCUUGCACUGGACUAUGUGGCCAGCAAUGCUUCCGUCAUGAACUUGCUGGUGAUCAGCUUUGAUCGCUACUUUUCCAUCACGAGGCCCCUGACAUAUCGGGCCAAGCGCACCCCCAAGAGGGCCGGCAUCAUGAUCGGCUUGGCCUGGCUCAUCUCCUUCCUGCUCUGGGCCCCGGCAAUCCUCUGCUGGCAGUACUUGGUCGGGAAGCGGACCGUACCCCCAGACGAGUGCCAGAUCCAGUUCCUCUCCGAGCCUACCAUCACUUUCGGCACUGCUAUCGCUGCCUUCUACAUCCCUGUUUCUGUCAUGACGAUCCUCUACUGCCGAAUUUACCGGGAAACGGAGAAGCGAACAAAGGACCUGGCUGACCUCCAGGGCUCCGACUCCGUGGCCGAGGCCGAGAGGAAAAAGCCAGCUCACAGGGCUCUGCUGCGAUCCUGCUUUCGCUGCCCUCGACCAACUCUGGCCCAGAGGGAGCGGAGCCAGGCCUCCUGGUCAUCCUCCCGCAGGAGCACCUCCACCACCGGGAAGCCGGCCCAAGGCACCGGACCCAGCGCCGACUGGGCCAAACCCGAGCAGCUCACCACCUGUAGCAGCUACCCCUCCUCAGAGGAUGAGGACAAGUCCUCCACUGACCGAGUCUUCCAAGCGGUCUACAAGAGUCAGGCCAAGGAAAGCCCACAGGAAGAAUCCAGUCCUGAAAAGACCAAGGAAACUUUCACAACAGUUCAAGCUGGACAAAAUGACUAUGACACCCCAAAAUAUUUCCCGUCUCCAGCUGCUCCUCACAGACCCAAGAGUCAGAAAUGUGUGGCCUAUAAGUUCCGAUUGGUGGUGAAAGCUGAUGGGAGCCAGGAGGCCAACAACGGCUGUCACAAGGUCAAAAUCAUGCCCUGCUCCCUCCCAGUAUCCAAGGACCCUGCAGCAAAGGGCCUUGAUGCCAGCCUCAACCAUCACAUGACCAAACGGAAGAGAAUGGUCCUCGUCAAAGAAAGGAAAGCAGCCCAGACCCUGAGUGCCAUUCUCCUGGCCUUCAUCAUCACGUGGACCCCUUAUAACAUCAUGGUCCUGGUUUCCACCUUCUGUGACAAGUGUGUCCCGGUCUCCCUGUGGCACCUGGGCUAUUGGUUGUGCUACGUCAAUAGCACUGUCAACCCCAUCUGCUACGCCCUCUGCAACAGAACCUUCAGGAAGACCUUUAAGAUGCUGCUGCUCUGCCGAUGGAAAAAGAAAAAGGUGGAGGAGAAGUUGUACUGGCAGGGGAACAGCAAGCUGCCCUGAGUAGUUAACAGCUCCGACUACAGUCAACUUCCUCUGAGGAUGGGCAGGCUGGUUCUGGUCUACUCAUGUCCCAUUUAAAAAAAAAAAAAAUGUCAUCUGUUGUUCUGAGUCCCCGAGGACUUUUCUAAAAUCUCACGAUCUGCUGCAGCAGUUGUUGCGACAAUGAAUGAUUCUUGUCUACGACCAAGGCCGCCUGGUGCCGCUGGAGUUUGCCACCAGCACAUAAAGAGAGAGACUCAUGGCUCUUCACUUGAGUCACUAUGAACAAUGAUUUAGGGAGCUUUUAUCUGACCCUUGUAGGGAACAGCGGGAACCAUGGAACCCUCCCCCUGGGGAAACCUGUGACGGGGUGCAAUACGUCUGUGUCUGUUCAGUUGUCUUGUACCAGUGAGAACCGGGAGAAUGUGUGUCAGUGUCCCCUGUCGGCAACAGUGACACUCAGCCGGCUUCUAAGAAACCAUGUCUUCAUAAACUGAUGAGUAUUAAUCAUGCAGCUAUUGCGUGGUCUGUACUGUGGUGCACUACCUUGUCCCUACAUCGGAGUGGCGCUCUUGCUCUUCUCUUUCAUCCCCAGUGCCGAUUCCUGGUGCCCACUGAAACCAAACGAACGCCUACAGAACCAUCCUUCCUCUCAGAAUCCUGGGUCUAGAAGGCCACUGGGACAUGGUCACCCACCGUCCGUUAGAAGGGCUGCUAGUCUGCUAAUAGACGAUCAAAUUGCCACAAUGUGUUUUAACCACUGGAACCUUCUCUCUUAUCUAAACAAAUCAUAUGGAAUCCAUCUCAUACCCAUGGAACUCAUUUGUUUAUGCUUGAUUCUUAGACUGCUUUUUUUUUUUUAAAUCAAGACUUCACUGGAUAAAGAUCUUCCACAGGCUAUUUAAUCACUGUUUUCUGACACUGUUUUCAGAGGACUUGCUUUCUCCUCCCAAGAUUCAGUCAAGAGGAGAAGCCCAGCAAAGCACAGCUGAAGAGUCCAGUGAAUGUGGCUGCGGCCCUUGACAACAAAAACUUUACGUUUAAAAAUGAAGUAUAAGCAGCGCCGUGGCUCACUAGGCUAAUCCUCUGCCUUGCGGCGCCGGCACACCGGGUUCUAGUCCCGGUCGGGGCGCUGGAUUCUGUCCUGGUUGCCCCUCUUCCAGGCCAGCUCUCUGCUGUGGCCAGGGAGUGCAGUGGAGGAUGGCUCAAGUCCUUGGGCCCUGCACCUGCAUGAGAGACCAGGAGAAGCACCUGGCUCCUGGCUUCGGAUCAGCACAGUGCGCCGGCCGCAGCGGCCAUUUGGGGGGUGAACCAACGGAAAAAGGAAGACCUUUCUCUCUGUCUCUCUCUCUCACUGUCCACUCUACCUGUCCAAAAAAAAAAAAAAAAGUAUAGGUCAUAGUGAUGCACAAGAAAAAAAAUUAACAUACGUUAGAUCAUCAAAAGAAUUAAAGACCAAAAUUCAUUGAAAUCUCUAAGUGUGUAUAAACAAACUUAAUCUAAAUGCUUGCUUGAUAAUUCUAAAAACAAAGCCGUGUGUAAGAAACUGAAACUCUUGAAUGGGGCCCCAGACCAAGAUCCACAAAGAAAGUACCGCCCUGGUGAGAUUCUAAUGCCGGAGCCCUCCUGUCAGACAGAGGCUCAGUACUUUGUGGAUUACACAGGCAGCUGUGUUUUAAGAGCUCCAGACUUCAUUUCCCUUAGUGUAGCCCAGCUCUGUUUCAGCCCCGUUUGCCAAGGGAAUGGAAAAGGAGCUAAUUUAGUGAUUCUGGGAAUUGGGUCGGGGCCUGGGUGUAGCGGAGCCUCACCUCAGCGUGCUGCAGAGCAUGGUGAGACACCAGGGAGGCUUCAGGGUAGCAGACUCCCGGGCAGGACAAAGCUGGUCCCUCCAGGCCUCUCCCCC